GUGAGGAAUUUUCCGCAAUGGGCGAAAGCCUGACGGAGCAAUGCCGCGUGAAGGAUGAAGGCCUAUGGGUUGUAAACUGCUUUUAACCGGGAAGAAACCCCAGGACGUGUCCUGGGUUGACGGUACCGGAGGAAUAAGCACCGGCUAACUUCGUGCCAGCAGCCGCGGUAAUACGAAGGGUGCAAGCGUUAUCCGGAUUCAUUGGGUUUAAAGGUUGCGUAGGCGGAGCGUUAAGUCAGUGGUGAAAUCCUGCAGCUUAACUGUAGACUUGCCAUUGAUACUGGCGCUCUUGAGUGCACUUGAAGUGGGCGGAAUGUGCCGUGUAGCGGUGAAAUGCUUAGAUAUGGCACAGAACACCAAUUGCGAAGGCAGCUCACUAAGGCGAUACUGACGCUGAGGCACGAAAGCGUGGGGAUCGAACAGGAUUAGAUACCCGGGUAGUCC
rnacentral:rRNA from 1 species